rnacentral:rRNA from 1 species
AGAGUUUGAUCAUGGCUCAGAUUGAACGUUGGCGGCAGGCCUAAAACAUGCAAGUCGAACGGUAACAGCGGGAGCUUGCUCCCGGCUGACGAGUGGCGGACGGGUGAGUAACACGUAGGAAUCUACCUAGUAGUGGGGGACAACCCGGGGAAACUCGGGCUAAUACCGCAUACGCUCUACGGAGGAAAGCGGGGGAUCUUCGGACCUCGCGCUAUUAGAGGAGCCUGCGUCGGAUUAGCUAGUUGGUGGGGUAAAGGCCUACCAAGGCGACGAUCCGUAGCUGGUCUGAGAGGACGACCAGCCACACUGGAACUGAGACACGGUCCAGACUCCUACGGGAGGCAGCAGUUAGGAAUCUUGGGCAAUGGGCGCAAGCCUGACCCAGCCAUGCCGCGUGUGUGAAGAAGGCCUUCGGGUUGUAAAGCACUUUCAGUGGUGAAGAAAAGCUUGGGGCUAACACCUCCGAGUCUUGACGUUAGCCACAGAAGAAGUACCGGCUAACUCCGUGCCAGCAGCCGCGGUAAUACGGAGGGUACGAACGUUAAUCGGAAUUACUGGGCGUAAAGCGCGCGUAGGCGGUUCGAUAAGUGGGAUGUGAAAGCCCCGGGCUCAACCUGGGAAUUGCAUUCCAAACUGACGAGCUAGAGUGCGGUAGAGGGAGGUAGAAUUUCCUGUGUAGCGGUGAAAUGCGUAGAUAUAGGAAGGAAUACCAGUGGCGAAGGCGGCCUCCUGGAUCGACACUGACGCUGAGGCGCGAAAGCGUGGGGAGCAAACAGGAUUAGAUACCCUAGUAGUCC